AUCGCUUCUCGGCCUUUUGGCUAAGAUCAAGUGUAGUAUCUGUUCUUAUCAGUUUAAUAUCUGAUAUGUUCUCCAUGUGAGAACUGCGUAUUAAAUGUAUUUUUACAAGUGGGAGACGGACUAGGGGCUUGCUCCGUCCGCUCCGCGCAUUGGCCCGGUAUUGCAGUACUUCCGGGUCCGGUGCACCCCCC
rnacentral:snRNA from 1 species